rnacentral:rRNA from 1 species
GGACCUGACUGCUAUCGGAUUGAUACUAAGCCAUGCGAGUCAUUGUAGCAAUACAAGGCAGACGGCUCAGUAACGCGUAGUCAACCUACCCUAUGGACGGGAAUAACCUCGGGAAACUGAGUAUAAUGCCCGAUAGAACAUUAUGCCUGGAAUGGUUUAUGUUCCAAAUGAUUUAUCGCCGUAGGAUGGGACUGCGGCCUAUCAGUUUGUUGGUGAGGUAAUGGCCCACCAAGACUAUUACAGGUACGGGCUCUGAGAGGAGUGGCCCGGAGAUGGGUACUGAGACACGGACCCAGGCCCUAUGGGGCGCAGCAGGCGAGAAAACUUUGCAAUGUGCGAAAGCACGACAAGGUUAAUCCGAGUGGUUUCUGCUAAAGGAACCUUUUGUCAGUCCUAGAAACACUGAUGAAUAAGGGGUGGGCAAGUUCUGGUGUCAGCU